GUACACCACCAAAAGCCCUGAUGAGAAGAGUCCUCUGUAGAUCUCCUUCGCCUUUCUCUGCAAUUCUACACUUGUCUCAAACUCCUCUUCACUGCAACAAUGGUGGGUCUUUGCCAAAGUUGGGUCCUACUCCCAGCUUCACCUUAACUUUCAGGUGGGUUUUCAUGUGCAAUUCUCUUCCUCCUCCAGAAUGGAUAGACCCCUUCAUUGACCUGUCUGAUGUAGCCUCAAGAAACUAUCAAGACCUUAAGCCCUCUCCGUGGGUCCACCAAAUCAUUAGUCUCUUAGAUGGGUCUUCGAAUAUGGAAUCCAAUCUGGAUUUUUUUUGCCACAAGUUCUUGAUCAAGUUGUCGCCAAGUUUUGUCUCGUUUGUUUUGAGGUCGACGGAGGUACAGGGAAAUCCUGAUGUUGCUUGGAGGUUCUUCAUAUGGGCUGGUAAGCAAAAGAAGUACACUCAUAACCUUGAAGCUUAUGUUUCUUUGAUCGACGCUUUCGCUGCGCAUGGUUAUUUGGAUAGAGUUAAGUUUGUAUUUAGUAUGUUCAGAGAAACAGGGUUCUUAAUGACUGUUCACCCGUCGAAUUCUUUGAUUAAGAGCUUUGGGAGUUUAGGGAUGGUAGAGGAGCUAUUAUGGGUGUGGCGUAAAAUGAAGGAAAAUGGGAUUGAACCAAGUUUAUUCACUUAUAACUUUUUGGUUAAUGGUUUGAUUAAUUCCAAGUUUAUUGAAUCCGCUGAACGGGUUUUUGAGGUUAUGGAGAAUGGAAAAAUUGGGCCAGAUGUUGUUACAUAUAAUACAAUGAUUAAAGGGUACUGUGAGGUGGGGAAAACCCAGAAAGCUUUUAAGAAACUAAGAGCUAUGGAGCUAAGAAAUGUGGCACCUGAUAAGAUUACUUAUAUGACUUUGAUUCAGGCCUGUUAUGCAGAGGGAAAUUUUGAUUCGUGUUUAGGUCUAUAUCAUGAAAUGGAUGAGAAGUGCUUGGAAAUUCCAUCACAUGUGUUUAGUUUAGUGAUUGGAGGACUAUGUAAAGAGGGCAAACAUGUAGAAGGAUAUGCUAUUUUUGAAAAUAUGAUUGAGAAGGGAUGCAAAGCAAAUGUGGCAAUGUAUACAGCUCUGAUCGAUUCAAAUGCAAAAUGUGGUAAUAUGAGAGAAGCUAUGUUGCUUUUUGAGAGGAUGAAAAAAGAAGGGCUUGAACCAGAUGAAGUUACUUAUGGGGUCAUUGUUAAUGGCUUGUGUAAGAGUGGGAGAGUGGAUGAGGCUAUGGACUAUAUGGAGUUUUGCGGAGGCAAUGGUGUAGCAGUCAAUGCCAUGUUUUAUUCUAGUCUCAUUGAUGGUUUAGGGAAGCUUGGGAGAGUGGAUGAAGCUGAGAAACUUUUUGAAGAGAUGGUCCAGAAAGGAUGCCCUCCAGAUUCAUAUUGUUAUAAUGCGCUUAUUGAUGCCCUUGCUAAGUGUGGCAAGAUUGAUGAAGCAUUAGCAGUCCUUAAGAGAAUGGAAGUGGAAGGCUGUGAUCAUACAGUUUACACGUUCACAAUAAUCAUAAGUGGGUUAUUCAGAGAACACAGAAAUGAAGAGGCGUUGAAGAUGUGGGAUGUAAUGAUUGAUAAGGGUAUCACACCAACUGCCGCUGCUUUCAGGGCUCUAUCAAUUGGGCUCUGUUUAUCUGGUAAGGUGGCCAGAGCUUGUAAGAUUUUGGAUGAGCUGGCACCGAUGGGUGUUAUUCCUGAGACAGCUUUUGAGGAUAUGCUCAAUAUUCUGUGCAAAGCUGGCCGUGUGAAGGAGGCUUGCAAGUUGGCUGAUGGGAUCGUUGAUAGGGGCAGAGAAAUACCAGGAAGAGUUCGCACUGUUCUAAUCAAUGCCUUGAGGAAAGCAGGCAAUGAGGACUUGGCCUUGAAGUUGAUGCACAGUAAGAUAGGCAUUGGGUAUGAUAGAAUGGGUAGUGUUAAGAGGAGAGUAAAGUUUCGGAUUCUUCUUGAAAGUUGAUCUUCAGCCAUAUUUCCAUACAACAACAGGCAUGCCUCUCCUUGUGAUUGGAUUUAGGGACCUACAAAUAUUGCAACACACAAUUUGGUUGCAAUGUCCUGCAGCAAUAAACUUCCAAAGCUAGCUCUACCUAAAUGGCGGAUUGUGCAUGAUUGAUUUCAAGCCAGUCAACAUUAACUCUCUUGCUACAUUCAUAUUAUAUCCUUAUUUUGCUAAAAUUUGAUAUCUGAUUUGCUUUAAUGGUCAUAUAAAUAUAUGAUUUGUCAGUCGUUAAUUCUUAGAGUAGUCCCAAUCAAUUAGUAUUGUUAUCUGUUUUGAGCAGUCCCUUUUGUACUGUCUUUAUCUGUCAAUGGAGCCAUUCAAUCCCACAGCCAAUUUGCAUUGUACUUUCUCUUUCAAUGGCAAUGGUAGGGGUCUACAGAUGUUUUAAGAGGUUGUAGGGGCAGUGGCUUUUGUUUCAGCCAAUAAAAUUUGCUUGUCUGGAAUCUGAAAGUGGUUGGCAGCUACUUCAAGAAAGAAAACGACUAAUUCUGAUUGCCAGUAUUGCUGGUUGACGAAGUCGAGAAAGAAGAAGAAUAAACAAGACAUUGUGAGUGGGCCGAAAUUCUUGGUCCACAGAUUUUGACCUAGCCAAUACACCUUGAUAAUUGCCAAGGAUGCUAUUGGAGAAAUCAGUACAAGUUUGUUUCGCUUUUCCAGAAGGGACUUGUUAUUGCCAGUCUGUGUAUGCAGGACAGGGUGCAAACAAUUAAGGCACUCUUGGUAGGUCUCCUGCAUCUAGCAACAGUGAAAGAGCUACAACUGCUGUUGCAUAUCUGCAGGUGACCUCCUCCUCCUGAUAACUUGUAGCUAGCUGAAUAUUUUGCGCCCCUACUGGGAAGGAAAUAACGAUGAUUGGCCAUCACUUGUUGGAAUUGAUUCCACUCAAAUUUAAAACAUGAAGAAGCAUGAGAAACUUCCUGGAUUUUACCUGAAUAAUCUUUUAAAGUUUACAGUUGAAUUGUAUUUACCAAUCAUGCAGAUACUACGUAUGCUGAUGCAUUUGAAGUCUCUGUACAUGAUUAGCUAAUAUUUUCAAUUUCUCAGCUGCUUAAAUGAAACUGCUUGCCAAGUUAAG
rnacentral:misc_RNA from 1 species